rnacentral:lncRNA from 10 species
CUGCUGUCCACACCGUCCCUCAACUCACCCCUUCCCUGGACAGAUUCUACCUGGCAUGCUUUGCCCCCAAAGCUCUCCCUCUUCCCAGAGUGAUGCACAGAUCAGAACCACCAACGGCAGAAGGUCUGGGAAGCCUGAGGAGUGGUAUUUCUGCAAACAGGAAUUAGAGAAUGGCCUCCAGCUAGAUUGCAGGGAGUCCCUGCAGAGAAAACCCUUAGAGAAGAGAAUCACUGAAGAAGAAAAUGAAGAUGACAAGGCUGUUGCUUCUUAAUAAACAUGAUCACAUUGUCAGCAUGCAUU